CAGUCGCCGCGGUAAUACGUAGGUGGCAAGCGUUAAUCGGACUUACUGGGCGUAAAGCGUGCGCAGGCGGUUAUAUAAGUCAGAUGUGAAAUCCCCGGGCUCAACCUGGGAACUGCAUUUGAGACUGUAUGGCUAGAGUGUGUCAGAGGGGGGUAGAAUUCCACGUGUAGCAGUGAAAUGCGUAGAUAUGUGGAGGAAUACCGAUGGCGAAAGCAGCCCCCUGGGAUAACACUGACGCUCAUGCACGAAAGCGUGGGGAGCAAACAGGAUUAGAUACCCCCGUAGUCCCUGUCUCUUAUAC
rnacentral:rRNA from 1 species